AAAAAAGGAGGAAAAAAAAAACAACAGAAAAAGGCUGUCAUAAACAAAAGCUAUCAACUGCCAAAUAAUCUCGCAUGGAAGAAGCCUUUUCAUACAAAAUUGAAACACAAUUAAAAAAGCACAAAAUAUCAUGAUGAUUAUUUCAAAAGGUGUUCAGUUUAUUGUCAAUCACCAUCCAGUCCAAGUGGAUGGUAAAAGUCCCCUUGUUUUCUCUCCCACCUCAUUUGUAAAAGCUGUUCUUUUAACUUAUUUGUAUGAUGAAGCAAAACACUUGCAUAAUAAAAGCACACAACUAAAAUUGAUUUUGUUUACAGAUAAUUAAGAUAUUGGCAAGUCAUCAACACCAGUGGAUCAAGAAAAAUGAUAACGGGAGAACUCAUUUCCAAAAUAAUAAAUAACCAGAUGCCUAUAAGGAAGGUCUCAAGAUAAGCAAGUACCAACAAAAGGUACCACGUACAAAAAGCAUAAUAAAUAGGGACAAAGAAUAAGAUUAACCAUAAUAGACGAAUAAAUUUUAAUAGCUGUCCUUGAACUUUAGGAGUUAUAAUAGAACUGUCGCUGA
rnacentral:misc_RNA from 1 species